GAGGCGCGUCUAUUGCUGGUUGAAAACUAUUUCCAAACCCCCUCUUCGGCCUGGGUUCUGCCUUGGCCGUUGAGAAUUUUUGAAAGGGCUUCCCUCUGGGUACAGCCCUACAAUUCUAGUUCAAAAUUUCUUUUUUAAGUUGGUAAACCAAUGCUAAUCACAGUGUUUACAUCGCAAAAUAAUUAAGGUUUCAAUUUUUAUUUCACAAUCAUUUAUUAGCUCAUAAAAUGCAACAAAAAAAAGGUCCUGGAUCUUAAAUAAAUCUUAAAAUCAUUAUUAAAGAUUCUUGUGCAUAUACUACUCCCGUUAACUUUAAUGUAUGGUCUGUGUCAACACGGGCCCAAUAUUGUAAAAGUUACCAUAUGCCAACUGCUGGAUAACACAUGUAACAUCAAGGCAUAAAAACAUUCAAAUUGCCUUUCAUCUAACUUUGAAUGGAUAUUGUUCUCAAGAGGCCUUUAUAAGCCUGAAUCCUGAGACCUUGGCAUCAAGCACUUCCACCAAUAUGUUGCUUCCUUUUAUGUUACGACGCAUCUCACUUAGUCUAAUUCUUUCAUGCGAAGUAUUUUCCUGAAAAUUAGACAUUAUCAUGUCAUCUUUUAUUUAUCAUCCAAAAAAGCAUUAAAAACUUAUCUUUUAGCAGGGCCACUGAAUUUCAUCUAUCAUCAUCUUCUGCCUCCAAGCUCUUCUUCCUCCUUAGAAGAUGUAUUCCUAAGAAUGUCAAAUUUAAGUAGUACGUACUAAAUCGUAAGACUGUGGCUUGGUACCUAUCGAAUAUAAUAUUGAAAAGGAAAACAUUUGAAACAUACUCAUAAAGCAGAAUUAUUCUCUGAAGAGCACUAUAACUUUAUAAAAAAUCAAAUAUGCAACCUGUUAUAUUUGUUACGCAUACUUGGAUGUAUAUUCAUCCACAACAUAUAUCUUUCUUUUCUAGGAACCUCUAAUUAUCUGCAUGUAGGUAGAAUGCUAAUCUCGCUAACUGGAAAGAUACACAUGUUGAAUGAUCAAUUUUCAUCUAUGUAUGCUCAUAAAUAUUGUUUCAUAACUAUGAUGGAAAGAAAUAAACUGAACAAUAAAAACUCUUAGGAGCAAAAUUGCAAUGCCAAGUUGCUAGAAGUGACUCCACGUUAUAGAAUAUAAUGACCAUGAAUCUCAGGAAUGUAGUGCUCUGAAGCUCUCUGGUGGAAUCUUGCAAGAUCUGCUUCUACUUUUCCCUUUUUAGAUUGCAAUUUAGCAAAUGGUUUGCUCAACGCACACUUAAAGCUCAAUAGAAUUGCUCACAAAGUUUAUAAUCAACUGAAAGACUUUACACCUUUUUACAUCAGCCAUGAAAUUGCAAACAUAGAAAACCACCGAAGUUCAAUACUAAGCAUGCUUAGAGUUUAGAAACACAGUUUUACCACUGAUUUUAACACAUCCUUGCCAUAAGAUUGAAAAGUUAAAAAUCAUGUAGAGAACCCAAAAGAAAAUAGGGCAGAAAUUAAAAGAAUAAAAAAAGGAUUUGGAGAAAAUCAGAAAAGAACCUACAACAAUCACUGAACUUCAGAAUCAAACCUAACAAUGAUGAAGAAAACCUAGAAGAAACCCAAAAUGGAAAAAGAACGAAGGAAAUGCAAAAUUGAUUGAAAGCAUACCUGCAGCUAGAUUUGUGAGCGAAGAGAAUCAGGAAGAAGCUGUGAGAAUCACUCUCAAAAUUAAAGGAUAACUUAAUUAUGUUGUCUGCUAAAAAUACAAGUGGAGCCAUCUAUAACUUACG
rnacentral:lncRNA from 1 species